rnacentral:rRNA from 1 species
UACAGAGGUCCCGAGCGUUGUUCGGAUUCACUGGGCGUAAAGGGUGCGUAGGUGGCGAGGUAAGUCGGAUGUGAAAGCUCGGAGCUCAACUCCGAAAUGGCAUUGGAAACUACCUUGCUCGAGGGUUGGAGGGGGGACUGGAAUGCUUGGUGUAGCAGUGAAAUGCGUAGAUAUCAAGUGGAACACCAGUGGCGAAGGCGAGUCCCUGGACAACUCCUGACACUGAGGCACGAAAGCUAGGGGAGCAAACAGG